GGUAAAUUGAACACCAAUAAAAAAUAAAUUUAUUUAAAAAACUAAACUAAACUAAAAAAAAAAAAUACUGACCUGAAACACUGAAGGUGGACUAAGUGGGAUGCAUACAAAACCCUGUUACGCAGCACUAUGGUGGUCCCAUAACAAGCUCUCUCUCUCUCUCUCACUGCAGGGGAGACAGAAUGAAAGGAAAGAAAGAAGUGAAAAUGAAGAGGCCAGUGCUGAUGUUCUGGGUUUUGGUCUUCAACUAAUACGUGGGUCAGUUAAGUGAAAAUUUCUUAAAAAUGCCUGGUCAACGACGUUUUCAAGAAGGUGAUGUAUAGUGUGGAAAUUAAUUUUUAUUUUUAUUUAUUUAUAUUUACUUAUUUUUAAAAAGAUUAUUUAUUUAUUUAUUUAUUCAUUCAAGACACAGAGAGGGAGAGAGAGAGGCAGAGACACAGGCAGAGGGAGAAGCAGGCUCCAUGCAGGAGCCCGAUGUGGGACUCGAUCCCGGGUCUCCAGGAUCAGGCCCUGGGCUGAAGGUGAUGCUAAACCGCUGAGCCACCUGGGCUGCCUGGAAAUUAAUUUUUAAAAAUGAACAUGUGCAGAAUUUAGUAGAUACCACAGGAAGUAUACAGAAAACUCUACAUCUCUUUAAGAAAUUUUUUAUUGUAUAAUUAAAAUACAGUGUUGUAUUAACCUCAGGUACACAAUAUAGUGAUUCAACAAUUUUAUACAUUACUCAGUGCUCAGCAUAGUGAAGUCACCAUCUUCACCAAUUAUUAUUUAACUCUUAGUGAUUACAUCCUCUAUGCUGUACUUUCAUUGCUAUGACUUAGUUAUUUAGAAGUUUAUCCCUCUUAAUCCCCCUUAUCUGUUUCUCCCACCCCCCACUCAACUCCCUUAUUGCAAUCACCAGUUUUUUUUUUUCUCUUAAGAGUCUGUUUUUUUUUCUUCUUUCAUUUGUUGUUUCUUAAAUUAUACAUAUGAUUAAAAAUCAUAUGGUAUUUGUCUUUGUCUUAUCUCAG
rnacentral:lncRNA from 1 species